rnacentral:rRNA from 1 species
GUGUCAGCCGCCGCGGUAAUACGUAGGGGGCUAGCGUUGUCCGGAAUUAUUGGGCGUAAAGAGCGUGUAGGCGGUUCGAUAAGUCUGCUGUAAAAGUCGGGGGCUCAACCCUCGAAGGCCGGUGGAUACUGUCGAGCUAGAGUACGGAAGAGGCGAGUGGAAUUCCUGGUGUAGCGGUGAAAUGCGCAGAUAUCAGGAGGAACACCAAUUGCGAAGGCAGCUCGCUGGGACGUAACUGACGCUGAGACGCGAAAGCGUGGGGAGCAAACAGGAUUAGAUACCCUGGUAGUCCACGCUGUAAACGAUGGGAACUAGGUGUGGGGGGUGUCGACUCCCUCCGUGCCGAAGCUAACGCAUUAAGUUCCCCGCCUGGGGAGUACGGCCGCAAGGCUAAA